rnacentral:rRNA from 1 species
AGGUGGUUAACAUUCAAGGCUUGUGCUUUUAGAGGGCAUGAUGAAUCUCCGGGAUCCAUUAACCGGGGUAAUUUCCUACAACUGGUAAAACUUUUGGCUUCUUAUAACAAGGAGGUGAAAGAUGUUGUCUUGGAAAAUGCCCCUGGAAACGCAAAGUACACAUCUCAUCAGCUUCAAGAGGAAAUUCUUGGUAUACUUUCUCGAAAGGUGCAAAGAGCAAUUAGAGAAGAAAUUGGUGAUAGCAAAUUUUGUAUAAUGGUUGACGAAACUCACGAUGAAUCCAAGAAAGAGCAAAUGGCGUUGGUCCUUCUGUUUCCUGACACUAAAGGGUUCAUACAGGAGCGUUUUGUUGAUGCCAUUCAUGUGAAUGACUAUCUUGCAUUUACUCUCAAGGAGACAAUCUGCACUGUUCUAGCAGAUAACAAUUUAAAUGUGGAAGAUAUCAGAGGUCAGGCCUAUGACGAGGUCAGUAAUAAGCGAGGGGAGUGA